AGUGAACGCUGGCGGUAGGCCUAACACAUGCAAGUCGAACGGCAGCACAGUAAGAGCUUGCUCUUACGGGUGGCGAGUGGCGGACGGGUGAGGAAUACAUCGGAAUCUACUUUUUCGUGGGGGAUAACGUAGGGAAACUUACGCUAAUACCGCAUACGACCUACGGGUGAAAGCAGGGGAUCUUCGGACCUUGCGCGAUUGAAUGAGCCGAUGUCGGAUUAGCCAGUUGGCGGGGUAAAGGCCCACCAAGGCGACGAUCCGUAGCUGGUCUGAGAGGAUGAUCAGCCACACUGGAACUGAGACACGGUCCAGACUCCUACGGGAGGCAGCAGUGGGGAAUAUUGGACAAUGGGCGCAAGCCUGAUCCGGCCAUACCGCGUGGGUGAAGAAGGCCUUCGGGUUGUAAAGCCCUUUUGUUGGGAAAGAAAAGCAGCAGGUUAAUACCCCGCUGUUCUGACGGUACCCAAAGAAUAAGCACCGGCUAACUUCGUG
rnacentral:rRNA from 1 species